rnacentral:rRNA from 1 species
GACGAACGCUGGCGGCGUGCCUAAUACAUGCAAGUCGAACGCACUCUCGUUAGAUUGAAGAAGCUUGCUUAUGAUUGAUAACAUUUGAGUGAGUGGCGGACGGGUGAGUAACACGUGGGUAACCUGCCCUAAAGUGGGGGAUAACAUUUGGAAACAGAUGCUAAUACCGCAUAAAACCUAGCACCGCAUGGUGCAAGGUUGAAAGAUGGUUUCGGCUAUCACUUUAGGAUGGACCCGCGGUGCAUUAGUUAGUUGGUGAGGUAAAGGCUCACCAAGACCGUGAUGCAUAGCCGACCUGCGAGGGUAAUCGGCCACCCUGGGACUGAGACACGGCCCAGACUCCUACGGGAGGCAGCAGUAGGGAAUCUUCCACAAUGGACGAAAGUCUGAUGGAGCAACGCCGCGUGAGUGAAGAAGGUUUUCGGAUCGUAAAACUCUGUUGUUGGAGAAGAACGUAUUUGAUAGUAACUGAUCAGGUAGUGACGGUAUCCAACCAGAAAGCCACGGCUAACUACGUG